GGGGAGGACGUCACUUGGUUUGCACCCCUUAAGGGUGUCAGGAGAUAUGUGUCAAAGUUCAGCUCCCUCUUUUUUCAAUAAGAUGUGUAUGUGUGUGAGAAAAGAGGAGGAGUCGCCGUGAGGAGAGAAUGGGGCAUUACCACCAGUCAUUUAUCAACAAUUCGAAGCUUAUCUAACACAGGGAAAUCGGCCAGAGUCCAGAGAGACAGAAAGAAAGAUGCCAGUGCGUGAAGUCAGCCAGCGGGGAGAAAUGGUUGCGCACCAGCUUCCUCGUGUGUCCUGACAGAACAAAACCUUCAUCGAAUGGCGGGGAAACCAAGAUGACUGGAGGUUUCGUUCUGCUGCAGCCAUCGCCCGCCAGAACAGCCGUUCCGAUAUUCCACAUGGCACAUCUUCCUCAGUCUGUUCUGUCGUUGAGGACUUGUUUGCCAGAGCCCAGUCAGGCUGAGUAUUUCUAGGGUUCCAAAACAGGCCUUCCUAGCAACCAAAGCAGCCCAGCCAAUAAGGGGCCGUGGCUUCUGUGGGGUGACAAUCCGAGUCGCAUUUCCACUCCGCUCCUAGUUACUUACCUUGAAAUACAGCCGCACCACCUUUCUCGCCCGACCUUCCAACUCGGGCCAGGUGAGAAAGGUGCAGUGCAGCGGGUUCCCAUAGCCUUGUGUCAAGGGCUGCUGAGUUGGAGGUAAGGAAGACACAUCCUUCUUUUACAGCACUAGCUGCUGUAAAACAGGUCCAGUCACUUUGAGAAGCCAGGGACACGGUUAAAUGUAUAAGGAGGAAACAUCCUUUCAGCACCCACUCUGUCAAGUCUCCUCGGGAUCUUAUAUGUUUCGACCAAACAAUGUCAUCUCAAUAUUGCCAAAGGAUGAGCAGAAAAAAAAGUCUGAGAUUGGAGACAUGUCUGCAAUAAGGCCACAUUAAGGAGUCAGUUUGGACUACUACUGCAUAUAAAUCUCUUGAAACCACUUGAAACCAAUACUCGGUGGUUCAAAUAGGCACAACAGUGUGGUUAGGUUACCAGACUAAUAACGCAGUGAACACGAGUUCAAAUGCCAAAUGUGACUCCGUCCCACACCAGCAUGGUUGACUCUUAAAUGUCAUCUGAAGUGGCCUUGCAAGCCCCUCUGUAUCAAUUCUGGAUGGGGAAUAAUUGCCAGCCUUACUGGUGCACCCACAUCCUGAGAAAGAAUUUUAAAAGUGGUUAGUGGCAUGCAAAGGAAUCACAAUCUGAGCCAGGCUGUCAUAGGGAGAUCAAAGGGGAAGCCCAGGCAAUUCCCAAAGGAGAGAAAGGAAAGUUGGAAAGAAGAAUUCAUCCUGUGCUGUGUUAAUUGUAUAUUAAUCAUGUUUAAUUGUAUGCCAGUGAUGGGCAUUAACUGGAGAUUUGCUUGUGUUCCUAAAAAUAGGAACCAACUGAACCUGUGGUUGUUGGAUUAGGCG